GGAAGGGAAAGUUGGGGCUUACUGCAGGGCAAGCUCCUUAGGAGAAGGUGGGGAGGAGGAAGGAGGGAGGUCCAGGCCCUUCUUCCAUCCCACGUCCUCCACUUCCCAAGGUGCAAGAAGAAAAGAGGUACAGAACACCCAGAGGUGCCCUCGAUUCCGUCUUGCACUUGCCCUUCUCCCACCGUCCAGCAAUAAAGCGAGAGAAACAAGUGCAGGAAACUGGCCGGCAGUCAUGGGAGAAGCCAAAAAGACAGCCUUGGGGAGCCGGCGGGAUCCAGAGCGGGGCUCCUCUCCGCACUUUGUAGCUGCGUUGCUCCGCUCCAUGCCCUG
rnacentral:lncRNA from 10 species